CUUUAGCAAGACUCGACCACUGCUCACAGAAAACGCAGCCCACUGUUUCUCCAAAUCCACUGCAGUUGGGUAAUAGAAGAUGUCAAGAUUAUCAUCUUCACCAGUGGAUUUCCGUCUGAUUAACGGUGAGCCGAUACUCCACCGGUGAGAGCAGAACCAGAGGCUGAGCAGGUGUGACAGGUCUGUGGGUCUCUACAGCAGGAGGCGCUAUAACUGCAGUACGUCUUCAGGCGGAGUCCAAAUUGCAGAAAAGGAUGAGCAAACCAUGAAGAACUGAACCUCAGGAUGAAUGUGCAACCAAG